rnacentral:tmRNA from 1 species
GGGCUUCAAAACCGGACCGAUCCCCUCUAUAUCUUGGGAGCCGGUCGCGAGGCCGGCUAUGGCGAUAAACGUUCUUCGCAAUAAACCUAUCGGACCCGGGGGCGGUACCCGGCGCCUCCACCCGAACCCAGGACAUGCUGCCGCAAGGCGCGUGACCGCGAGCCUGGGUUCCGGCGGGGGCGAAAUAGGAUCGGCGAGGGCGUAAAGGUUGGACUUUCGCUCGGCAUGGUUCCGCCGUUAUCGGGCCUUUGCAAUAGUUGCCAACGACAACUUUGCUCCGGUGGCGGUGGCCGCGUAAGCGGUCCCCAAUACCGACCUAAAGACCUAGCGGGUAGCACCGCAUAGGCGGGGUUCGGAGGCACCUGGCAACAGAAGCCUCCACU